GGCGAUCAGAUACCGCCCUAGUUCUGACCGUAAACGAUGCCAACUAGCGAUCCGCCAGUCGACUCAUCGCUCUGGUGGGGAGCUUCCCGGAAACGAAAGUCUUCCGGUUCCGGGGGAAGUAUGGUUGCAAAGCUGAAACUUAAAGGAAUUGACGGAAGGGCACCACCAGGAGUGGAGCCUGCGGCUUAAUUUGACUCAACACGGGGAAACUCACCCGGCCCGGACACCGUAAGGAUUGACAGAUUGAUAGCUUUUUCAUGAUUCGGUGGAUGGUGGUGCAUGGCCGUUCUUAGUUCGUGGAGCGAUUUGUCUGGUUUAUUCCGAUAACGAGCGAGACUCUGGCCUACUAAAUAGUUGGCACAUUGCCACUGUGUGCCCAACUUCUUAGAGGGAUUUUCGGUGUUCAGCCGCACGAAAUUGAGCAAUAACAGGUCUGUGAUGCCCUUAGAUGUCCGGGGCUGCACGCGCGCUACACCGGCAAAAUCAGCGUGCUUGUCCUCCCCCGAAAGGGGUUGGUAAACCGAUGAAAAUUUGCCGUGAUUGGGAUCGGACAUUGCAAUUAUUGUCCGUGAACGAGGAAUCCCUUGUAAGGGCGAGUCAUCAACUCGUCCUGAAUACGUCCCUGCCCUUGUA
rnacentral:rRNA from 1 species